ensembl:lncRNA
UCAAUUUCCUCUAAUUUUUAAGAAUUGAAUUUGUGUUUGUUUGUUUUUUUUUGGUUGUUCAGUCAAAUUACAAUGGUAGAAGCUAACCCAGAACAUUUUUCAUGUAUAGCCUUCUGCUUUGUCUAUAGGUCGUUUGGUUUCAGUGACUAAAUGAAGAAUAUACAGUAAAAGAAAAAUCCUGAAAUUCCAAGUGGCUGGAGACAGGACUAAGUUGAGUUGUUUUAUCUUGCUCACUUAACAGGUUGAAAAUCUGUCUAUGAGAACCUGACAGCUUUUCCUGUUGAUACUUUUCCCUUCCCCCACACUCCCAGCACCAGUGAAGCUCCAGAAAAGUAAUCACGGUAGGGCCACCAUCGGUUCAGCAAAACAGAGGUUAUCCUGUGCUACCAGAUAAAAUUUCUGAAGUUAUACAACCCGAAUUGUCUCCCCCCAUCCUUCACAGAGAUGUGGCAGGUCUGAUCAGAGUGAACUUGCUCUCAA